GAUGAACGCUGGCGGCGUGCUUAACACAUGCAAGUCGAACGGAAAGGCUCCUGCUUGCUGGGGUACACGAGUGGCGAACGGGUGAGUAACACGUGGGUGAUCUGCCCUGCACUUCGGGAUAAGCCUGGGAAACUGGGUCUAAUACCGGAUAGGACUAUCGCUUAGUGUCGGUGGGGGAAAGUUUUUUCGGUGUGGGAUGGGCUCGCGGCCUAUCAGCUUGUUGGUGGGGUAAUGGCCUACCAAGGCGGCGACGGGUAGCCGGCCUGAGAGGGUGUACGGCCACAUUGGGACUGAGAUACGGCCCAGACUCCUACGGGAGGCAGCAGUGGGGAAUAUUGCACAAUGGGCGCAAGCCUGAUGCAGCGACGCCGCGUGGGGGAUGACGGCCUUCGGGUUGUAAACUCCUUUCGCCAUGGACGAAGCGAAAGUGACGGUACCUGGAUAAGAAGCACCGGCUAACUACGUG
rnacentral:rRNA from 1 species